rnacentral:rRNA from 1 species
UACAGAGGUCUCAAGCGUUGUUCGGAUUCAUUGGGCGUAAAGGGAGCGUAGGUGGCGGGGUUAGUCAGGUGUGAAAUCUCGGGGCUCAACCCCGAAACUGCACUUGAUACUGCCUUGCUAGAGUACUGGAGAGGAGAUUGGAAUUUACGGUGUAGCAGUGAAAUGCGUAGAUAUCGUAAGGAAGACCAGUGGCGAAGGCGAAUCUCUGGACAGUUACUGACACUGAGGCUCGAAGGCCAGGGGAGGCAAACCGGG